GAAUGGCCUGAUGACUGGCAGUUUUCCUGUUAAACCAAUAUUACAACUGGUGGCAGCAGCUUCGAGAUGGCAAAAACCUUAUUGUCUGAGAAGAAAUUUUCUGGUCAUGCUGAUGGGCCUGUGAUCAAAAAGCUGUGGGAGUGAGGGGGAAUUGGCCUCUGAGAACACAUAGCCUCAGCUUCUGGUUGCGAAACCACCACCACCCUCCACCCCCAAGAGUGGCCUAGAAGCAGCACCAAUCUCCAGGCUAAGGUUGCAUAACCUCUAGGAUUGGCCAGGUGUCCCCAGGAAUGUGGCAUCAGUAUCCAGAUUGAGCAUGCAGAAUACAAAGGAAGGAAAGAAGGAAAUGCUGUUGAUAUGUGUGGAACACUGGGCCUGCAUUCCUGAACUGCUUUCCGCUAUCACUGCUGCUGAUUGUUCCUCCAGCUUCCUGACCCGCACAACCCCUGAAGGAGAACCUGCUCUUCCUUGGAAACAAUGGCGGUCCUAUAUCUGCAAUUACCCCCUCACCAUACAGAGUCCUGAUUUUACUCAAGCAAAGCAGAGGGCUAUAUUGCUUCACUGCCUGGGUCCUAAAGGCCAGAGAAUAUAUAACCAUUUCCCCUUUCCUGCCACCUUGGAAGGGGAUGCCAGUUCAUAUAAAGCUGCUCUUCAAGCCUUAGAUGAUCAUUUCAACCCUACUUUGCAUGUGAUUGCUAAACAUUACAAGUUCUGUUCUAAAUCCCAACUGCCUGGUGAAUUUAUUGAUCAGUAUAACACAGCACUGUGUGCCCUAAGUGUAACAUGUGAGUUUGCCAGCUUUACUAAUGAAAUUAGGAGUGUGUGUGGAACCAGUUUU